UACAGAGGGGGCAAGCGUUGUUCGGAAUUACUGGGCGUAAAGGGCGCGUAGGCGGCCUCUUAAGUCGAACGUGAAAUCCCCAGGCUUAACCUGGGAAUUGCAUCCGAUACUGGAUGGCUUGAAUCCGGGAGAGGGAUGCGGAAUUCCAGGUGUAGCGGUGAAAUGCGUAGAUAUCUGGAGGAACACCGGUGGCGAAGGCGGCAUCCUGGACCGGCAUUGACGCUGAGGGGCGAAAGCAUGGGGAGCGAACAGG
rnacentral:rRNA from 1 species